GACGAACGCUGGCGGCGUGCCUAAUACAUGCAAGUCGAGCGAAUUGAUGGGAGCUUGCUCCCUGAUAUUAGCGGCGGACGGGUGAGUAACACGUGGGUAACCUGCCUGUAAGAUUGGGAUAACUCCGGGAAACCGGGGCUAAUACCGGAUAAUAUUUUGAACCGCAUGGUUCAAAAUUGAAAGAUGGUUUCGGCUAUCACUUACAGAUGGACCCGCGGCGCAUUAGCUAGUUGGUGAGGUAACGGCUCACCAAGGCAACGAUGCGUAGCCGACCUGAGAGGGUGAUCGGCCACACUGGGACUGAGACACGGCCCAGACUCCUACGGGAGGCAGCAGUAGGGAAUCUUCCGCAAUGGACGAAAGUCUGACGGAGCAACGCCGCGUGAACGAUGAAGGCCUUCGGGUCGUAAAGUUCUGUUGUUAGGGAAGAACAAGUACCAGAGUAACUGCUGGUACCUUGACGGUACCUAACCAGAAAGCCACGGCUAACUACGUGCCAGCCGCCGCCGUAAAAC
rnacentral:rRNA from 1 species